UGCACGUGCUGCCGGAGGGCGCCUGGCCGCACACGGCGGCCACCGCGGGUUCCAACUCCUGCCACCUGCAG
rnacentral:tRNA from 1 species